rnacentral:tRNA from 1 species
CAGGGUAAAGCUUAAGAGAAAGCGUUUCACUUACACUGAAAAGAAAGUUGUGCGAGUCAAUAUAUUCUGA